GUACGGGAGGCAGCAGUGGGGAAUUUUGGACAAUGGGGGCAACCCUGAUCCAGCCAUGCCGCGUGAGUGAAGAAGGCCUUCGGGUUGUAAAGCUCUUUCGGCCGGGAAAAAAUCGCAUCAGUUAAUACCUGGUGUGGAUGAUGGUACCGGAAUAAGAAGCACCGGCUAACUACGUGCCAGCAGCCGCGGUAAUACGUAGGGUGCGAGCGUUAAUCGGAAUUACUGGGCGUAAAGCGUGCGCAGGCGGUUUGAUAAGACAGGCGUGAAAUCCCCGGGCUCAACCUGGGAACUGCGUUUGUGACUGUCUCACUAGAGUACGGCAGAGGGGGGUGGAAUUCCACGUGUAGCAGUGAAAUGCGUAGAGAUGUGGAGGAACACCAAUGGCGAAGGCAGCCCCCUGGGUCGAUACUGACGCUCAUGCACGAAAGCGUGGGUAGCAAACAGGAUUAGAUACCCUAGUA
rnacentral:rRNA from 1 species